CGCCGCGUGGAGGAUGAAAUAUCUUCGGUUAGUGUAAACUCCUUUCGAUGGGGAAGAUAAUGACGGUACCCAUAGAAGAAGCCCCGGCUAACUUCGUGC
rnacentral:rRNA from 1 species